CUACGGGCGGCACCAGUGGGGAAUAUUGGACAAUGGGGGAAACCCUGAUCCAGCCAUGCCGCGUGAAUGAUGAAGGCCUUCGGGUUGUAAAAUUCUUUUGGUGGGGACGAUGAUGACGGUACCCACAGAAUAAGCUCCGGCUAACUUCGUGCCAGCAGCCGCGGUAAUACGAAGGGGGCUAGCGUUGUUCGGAAUUACUGGGCGUAAAGGGCGCGUAGGCGGUUUGAUAAGUUGGGUGUGAAAGCCCAGGGCUCAACCCUGGAACUGCACUCAAGACUGUCAGACUUGAAUUCGGUAGAGGUUGGUGGAAUUCCCAGUGUAGAGGUGAAAUUCGUAGAUAUUGGGAAGAAUAUCCGUGGCGAAGGCGGCCAACUGGACCGACAUUGACGCUGAGGCGCGAAAGCGUGGGGAGCAAACAGGAUUAGAUACCCCCGUAGUC
rnacentral:rRNA from 1 species